UAUCACAGCCAUAUUGCCCUGCAGCCCAAGACCGGUGAAGCUAAGCAGGGCUGAGCCUGGUCAGUACCUGGAUGGGAGACCACAUGGAAAAACUGGGUUGCUGUUGAAA
rnacentral:rRNA from 1 species